GACGGAGGGUGCUAGCGUUGUUCGGAAUUACUGGGCGUAAAGGGCGCGUAGGCGGCUGCUCAAGUCGGGUGUGAAAGUCCAGGGCUCAACCCUGGGAUGCCGGUCGAUACUGCCGGACUAGAGUUCGGAAGAGGCGAGUGGAAUUCCCGGUGUAGCGGUGAAAUGCGCAGAUAUCGGGAGGAACACCUAUGGCGAAGGCAGCUCGCUGGGACGUUACUGACGCUGAGACGCGAAAGCGUGGGGAGCAAACAGG
rnacentral:rRNA from 1 species